GCUUUCUGCAAAAUUUCAAGACAAUAUGGUUCUAUUAAAAAUAGUCGAACUAUAUCCAAGAUAUACUCAUGUUUUCUCUCUGGACAAGCAUUUUAUUGACAGUUUCCUUAACUAAAACCUUGACCAAAUGUCUUAAUAAUAAGGUUUUGGAGAUAUUUUGUUUCAGAUAAGUGAAGUGUGUCUUUUGAUCGUGUUGUUUUUAUACCUAGAAUACAUCUUUAGAUUCUCAAACACUUAAUUGCGAAUGCUGACUAACAUAAUUUAAUUAGCCAUUGUAUAGCCGGAGAAGUUAUUUCCAUGAUGACAGUACU
rnacentral:lncRNA from 1 species